GACGAACGCUGGCGGCGUGGAUUAGGCAUGCAAGUCGGACGGUAGGGCUUUAUCGUAAGAUAGAGUUUGAGAGUGGCGAACGGGUGAGUAACACGUAGGAAUCUACCCUUAAGACGGGGACAACCCAGGGAAACUUGGGCUAAUACCGGAUGAGAGUGCGAGAGAUUGCAUUUAAAAGGAUGGCGAAAGUUGUCGCUUAGGGAUGAGCCUGCGGUCUAUUAGUUAGUUGGUGAGGUAAGAGCUCACCAAGGCGAUGAUAGAUAGGCGGCCUUAACGGGUGGUCGCCCACACUGGGAUUGAGAUACGGCCCAGACUCCUACGGGAGGCAGCAGUCGAGAAUAGUCUACAAUGGCCGGAAGGCUGAUAGUGCGACGCCGCGUGAACGAGGGAGCCCUUCGGGGUGUAAAGUUCUUUUAUAUGUGAGCAGUGCUUCUUAUAUUUAACAGUAUGGGGAGAGAGAUAUUAGCAUAUGAAUAAGCAACGGCUAACUCCGUGCCAGC
rnacentral:rRNA from 1 species